GACACUCCCCUUUCCUUCAGGUGUGUAGCAUAAAUCAUUGCGGUGGUAGCUAGUUAGCAAAGACGCCGUGUUUUUGAUGCUGUCGAGUGUAGCGUGGGCACACCGCUCUCUCUGUCCCUUCGUUUGUGGUUGAGCCACCGUACAGGAAAGCCCUGUCCAUCGGCGGCUGGCGUGGGGUCGGCUGCUGUUCUGGGAUGGUGUGCUGAGCUGGGCAAACUCAAGUGUCGCUGGUGAUGUUCUUCCACUUUGUGUCCUGUGUGGUUGACUGCUUGCAUGCCGCUUCGAGAGAACCAGAGGUAAUGCCGGCAUUUUCUGUAAGAGUUUCGACGCUUAGCACUUGAGUUGUGUGGGGUGGGAGUGGGGGUGCUCCGCAGGUGUGAUGGCGGGACUGGCAGCGUGGUGCCUUUGAUAUCGCGCUGUGGUGUCGUGGUUGCACCUGUGGGAGCGCCCACAUUUCCACAAUACACAACUCCUGUUGAAUCGGGUUAUAAAUGCCGUUUCUAAUGGUAACUUUCUCGUUAAAUGUACAUAGGAGGAGUUGGUGCCUUCGACUACACUGAUGCAGUGUCACUAGAGAAGGGGGGCAUCACUGUUCUUUUCCCAACCUUUUGUUUUGUUUUGUCCUAUUGUGUGAGUGAUUCAUCCGGUGCAACCUUUUCACUUUGACGUCCGAGACGAAGGGGCUUGUGUAAGUUUCACUCUAACAUACGAGACGAAGGGGCUCGUGUAAGUUUCUACUUAGUAACCGCCAAGACGGAGCUUGUGUAUAUGAUUAGGGUAUGAACACUGAAGUAUUACUGGGAGACGUAUCUUAAAUCUCAGACUCCUUUUGGAACCUAUAGGCCUACUUGCUGUAGGGGGAGACCAAAGACGUGUGUCUAACAGGCUUGUGUGUGUGUGUGGUGGCCAUUACCAAUUUUGCCCUUUUGGCAGUUUGUUUUCUUUUGUUUGAUUUACUAACUUUGUUUGCCGUGCAAUUUUUGUUAUUUGGUCUGCCCCUCGUGCAAAUGCCAAUUACCAUUAGCACUUUUGCAUAACUAGCACUUUUGCACAAGUUUGUAUAUUGAGAUGACGUGCCUAUAAGUAAUGUAAAUGUUCAUAUUCUAUAUUUUCAUAUUUGACUGAGCCCGUGAGGC